rnacentral:rRNA from 1 species
AGGAGGUGGAUAUUCACAGACAACCAGGAGGUUGGCUUAGAAGCAGCCAUACCUUGAAAGAGUGCGUAAUAGCUCACUGGUCGAGAGUAUCUGCGCCGAAGAUAUAACGGGGCUAAGACAUGAACCGAAGCCGCGGAAGCGUGUUAACACGUUUGGUAGGAGAGCGUUCUGUAGGCCGUGGAAGGUGUCCUGUAAGGGAUGCUGGAGGUAUCAGAAGUGAGAAUGCAGGAAUGAGUAGCGAGAAGGAGGGUGAGAAUCCCUCCGGCCGGAAGUCCAAGGUUUCCAGGGGAAGGUUUGUCCGCCCUGGGGGAGUCGGGACCUAAGCAUAAGCAGAGCUGCGAAGGCGAAUGGAAAACAGGUUAAUAUUCCUGUACCGCUGUGUACUGACUGAGAGACGGAGUGACGCAGGAAGGUAUGCGGGAAGGCUGACGGAAUAGCCUUUCUAAGGGUGAAGCGUGGACAUACAGGCAAAUCCGUAUGUCUGGACGUGAGGCCUGACGGGUAAGUACCUUAGGGUAUAAGCCGCAGAUCCUACACUGCCGGGAAAAACUUCUAUUUAGGGAAACAGCGCCCGUACUGUAAACCGACACAGGUGGACAGAGUGAGAAACUUAAGGCCGACAGGACAACUCUGGCUAAGGAACUCUGCAAAAUGGCCCCGUAACUUAGGGAGAAGGGGUGCCCGCGGUACCUGAAGGGGGAGACACCCGGAGGGGAGGCGGGCCGCAGUGAAGAGUCCCAAGCAACUGUUUACCAAAAACACAGGUCUAUGCUAAGCUGGAAGGCGACGUAUAUGGGCUGACACCUGCCCAGUGCCGGAAGGUUAAGAGGAGGAUUGAGAGAUCCGAAUUGAAGCCCCGGUGAACGGCGGCCGUAACUAUAACGGUCCUAAGGUAGCGAAAUUCCUUGUCGGGUAAGUUCCGACCUGCACGAAUGGUGAAAUGAUUUGGGAGCUGUCUUGGCCGGAGACCUGGUGAAGUUGUAAUGCCGGUGAAGAUACCGGUUACCUGCAGUAGGACGGAAAGACCCCGUGGAGCUUUACUGCAGCCUGGCAUUGGGUUUCGGCAAUGUGUGUAUAGGAUAGCUGGGAGGCUGUGAAGAUAUGGCGUCAGCCGUAUCGGAGCCGCUGUUGGAAUACCAGCCACGCAUUGUUGGGAUUCUAAUCUCAAGAGAUGGGAGACAGUGCUAGGUGGGCAGUUUGACUGGGGCGGUCGCCUCCAAAAGAGUAACGGAGGCGUUCAAAGGUUCCCUCAGGCUGGAUGGAAAUCAGCCGGAGAGUGCAAACGCAUAAGGGAGCUUGACUGCGAGACUGACGGGUCGAGCAGGCACGAAAGUGGGAGUUAGUGAUCCGGCGGUUCUGAAUGGAAAGGCCGUCGCUCAACGGAUAAAAGCUACCCCGGGGAUAACAGGCUGAUACUUCCCAAGAGUCCAUAUCGACGGAAGUGUUUGGCACCUCGAUGUCGGCUCGUCUCAUCCUGGGGCUGGAGAAGGUCCCAAGGGUUGGGCUGUUCGCCCAUUAAAGAGGCACGCGAGCUGGGUUCAGAACGUCGUGAGACAGUUCGGUCCCUAUCCACUGCAGGCGUCAGAAUAUUGAAGGGAUCUGUCCUUAGUACGAGAGGACCGGGAUGGACGGACCACUGAUGUACCGGUUGUCACGCCAGUGGCACGGCCGGGUAGUCACGUCCGGAAGGGAUAACCGCUGAAAGCAUCUAAGCGGGAAGCCCACCCUGAGAUGAAUGUUCUUCCAAGCAUCCGCCGAGAACAGGCGGUGAUAGGCCGGGGGUGCAAGCAUGGCGACAUGUUCAGCUGACCGGUACUAAUAAUGCGUAGGCUUACUUCAA